AUUGAACGCUGGCGGCAUGCCUUACACAUGCAAGUCGAACGGCAGCACGGGGGCAACCCUGGUGGCGAGUGGCGAACGGGUGAGUGAUGCAUCGGAACGUGUCCUCUUGUGGGGGAUAACCAGUCGAAAGACUGGCUAAUACCGCAUGAGAUCGAGAGAUGAAAGCGGGGGACCGCAAGGCCUCGCGCGAGAGGAGCGGCCGAUGCCCGAUUAGCUAGUUGGUGGGGUAAGAGCCCACCAAGGCGACGAUCGGUAGCUGGCCUGAGAGGACGACCAGCCACACUGGGACUGAGACACGGCCCAGACUCCUACGGGAGGCAGCAGUGGGGAAUUUUGGACAAUGGGCGCAAGCCUGAUCCAGCAAUGCCGCGUGCAGGAAGAAGGCCUUCGGGUUGUAAACUGCUUUUGUACGGAACGAAACGGUCCGGGUUAAUACCCUGGGCUAAUGACGGUACCGUAAGAAUAAGCACCGGCUAACUACGUGCCAGCCGCCGCCGUAA
rnacentral:rRNA from 1 species